rnacentral:rRNA from 1 species
AUUGAACGCUGGCGGCAGGCCUAACACAUGCAAGUCGAGCGGAUGAAGGGAGCUUGCUCCUGGAUUCAGCGGCGGACGGGUGAGUAAUGCCUAGGAAUCUGCCUGGUAGUGGGGGAUAACGUCCGGAAACGGGCGCUAAUACCGCAUACGUCCUGAGGGAGAAAGUGGGGGAUCUUCGGACCUCACGCUAUCAGAUGAGCCUAGGUCGGAUUAGCUAGUUGGUGGGGUAAAGGCCUACCAAGGCGACGAUCCGUAACUGGUCUGAGAGGAUGAUCAGUCACACUGGAACUGAGACACGGUACAGACACCUACGGGAGGCAGCAGUGGGGAAUAGUGGACAAUGGGCGGAAGCCUGAUCGAGCCAUGCCGCGUGUGUGAAGAAGGUCUUCGGAUUGUAAAGCACUUUAAGUUGGGAGGAAGGGCAGUAAGUUAAUACCUUGCUGUUUUGACGUUACCAACAGAAUAAGCACCGGCUAACUUCGUG